rnacentral:lncRNA from 1 species
CUGCAGCACACUGGCAAGGAGAGGGGCCGUGUGGGAGGUGAGAGCCUGCAUGGAGCUGCUGGUGCUGUCCCAUCUCUCAGCACUUGGAACCAUGGACUACUAUGUGCAUGACAGUGAGAUAGUCUGCUGGAGGAUAGAAGGCUACAUGUAGAAAUGAAGCACUCGGCCAACAGCCUGUGAAUGCCAGACAUGUGCAUGAGGCCAUUGUAGAUCAGAUGCCAGGUCACCCACCAGCUAACCACAGACAUGUGAAAGAGCAUAGAGAGAUCAGCUGUGCAACCCAGAAUCACCCAGUUGACUCUCAGAAUUUUUUCUUUUUUCUUUUUUUUUUUUUGAGACAGAGUCUCACUCUGUCGGCCAGGCUGGAGUGCAGUGGCGUGAUCUCAGCUCACUCAUAUAUUCAAGAGAGAUUACCAAGGUAAAAUAAGACCCGGCAAACUGAGCAGAUUUGGCUGGGGGAACAUUAAAGAGUCAAAGAUGAUGAUGUCCAUGCUAAGGUGUCUCUGAGAGGUGGUUGGUACGAUGAACAGAAAUAUGAAAACUAGAUAAGAAGUGAUGUGAGAGUAGUUCUAUUUUAGUGAUACUAAGUUUGAAGUAAACUGAUUUUUAUUAGGCAAUUAGAAACAAAGGUCAAGAACUUAAAAGAGAUUCAGCCUUGAGAGAUAACUGAGAUCAUCUACGUACAGAUACUAGAUGGAAUCAUGAAAAGUAUUAGAGGAGAUGAAACCACUUAGUGUGCAGAGAAGGAAGAGAAGAGACAGAACAGAACCAUGAAGAAAAUUCAAGGUUUAAAAGAAAAAAGCCAGUGAAGCAGAAUUUGUUAAAGAUGCAAAAACACUUCUAGAAGAAAACAUUUCAGAGAAACUCAAAGGGAAAAAUACUAAAAUAUAAAAAUGCACAGUUCUGACAGUGAAUACAUGGAGAUUAACAAUGUAAAUAAAGGAAAUCAAAUUUAAAGCUCACACUCAGAGUGACCUGGAUUAAUUCCUGCCUGGGUUUGUUAACUACAAAUGGCAUAAACUCUAGUUAGACAUAUAAAAAUCACAUUAGCUCCCUGUCUUAAGUCACUCUUCUGAGAUGAGAGUUCCCAAUAAUGAAUAACUUUGUAGAGUAUCUUAUCUUCUAGCUUUCCAAGAUUUUCUUUAAUAAAAGUAAGGUGGAAGGUAACAGUAAAAAUAUACUUUCUUCAGUUAGAUUUAAUAAGCUGACACUGUCUCCUUAGAUACAAUAUACUUCCCUAUUCCCUCCAUCAUUAAAGAAAAAUUCCUUUACAUAAAGAUGGUUAACAUUUAUUAGGCAGUUAGAACCCAAAUUGAUUUAUAAAUAUAGUUAGCAAUUACAUUGUAAACUUCAGUGUCAAAUCACACUAGUAUAUAUUUAAAAUAAAAAUCAAUUUGGGGGAGGUAAUAUAUCAUAAAAGAAAUGCUACACUUGGAAUGGGAAGAAAACAGUUACAGCACAGAUUACUACUAACUUUCUGUGACCCACAGAAUAAAAAUUUAUCAAAAAAUAAGGUCCUAACUCAUUAGCAAAGCCUGAUGGAGUCCUUCUUUUCCAGCCUUG